rnacentral:lncRNA from 1 species
GUGAAUCAGAUCUAGGAGCACAUUGACUACGAGGUUUGUCGACAUGACAAGUACCGUAUGUGUGUCUACUCGUCCAACCUGAUAAUUCUCCAUUUGGUCACCUUUGAUUGAUAUCCUCCAAAAUAGGAGGAGAUUCUGCUUUUGCUAAAUCUCCUUGUGUAUGUGCUUCUUGCACCUAUUGAUGCUACAAGUUAAGUAAUCAGAUGAGCCCUUCAUGUGUUGUAUGCAAGAUUCCAACAUGUUCUUCAUUUUGUUCUGAUGCAACAGUCAGCUGGAUGCGGGAGAAUCAAUGCACAUAAACUUGUUCUUUCUCUAUUUAAAAGCAUUGAAGAUCAUAAUAUUACGCACUAUCAAUUUGUUUUUUCUUGGCAAUCGGUAUUGCUAAUACCCCUUUCGGUCUUUAACAUUUGUUUUUUCUCGUGGACACAUGUAUGAACACUUCACCUGUCUUCAUUCUUUCUAGAUCUCAUAAGUAGUAAUUUCUUAAAGAUUGUAUAACCUGUAUACUUCACUUUAAUUCAUGUGUGACAACAGUAAAGGAAAUCAUCUGAUGAACUGUUCACGAUAUAAUUUUUUAUAGGCUUAGAUUUAAUUAAGGUCUAUCUAUUGUAGUUUAAGCUUGAACAUAUCAUUAGGGCUAGUUCUUGUGGUGUUUUUUGGGCUUCUAGAAUAAGUUGCCCCUUACCCAGCUUAUUUUAGAAGCCCAACCAUAUAGUGUCAAAAACACUCUUAUAUUAUGGGAUGGAGGGAGUAGGCUUCUAAGCAAAUAAUUUUCUAGAAUAAGCUAGGUAGGGGGCAACCUAUUCCAGUUUUUCUAGAAGGCAGCAAAAGAACUGGCCUUUAGUAAUUAGUAUGAUCUUCUGAUGUUGGAGUCUCGAGGUGGAGAGUUUACACAAUAUGAUAUAAUAUGAAUUUUAACUUACUAGUGUUCAAUAUUUCUAACCUGAUUUAUGGAAGAAACAAAAGCUAGGCCACACAGCCACAUAAAGUCCUCUAAAAUGUUCACUGCUUGCAUCCAUGUGACUUCCUUAUAUACACUAUCUGCAUUCUACUCUCAGCUUGCUGCAUUUUUCUUAUUUCAUGUUAUGCUUAAUUUGCUUCUAAUGUAUUGUCCCUCCCUAUGGCAGGACGAAACACUUCUUGGAAUUCUUAAAGAGGAAGUCAAUGGAGCCAUGCUGUUGUUGUGCAACAGGCUAUGUUUUUCGUAAUACCAUUUGUCUGGGCUGUGUAAUCUUAGUUUGUGUGUGCUGGGAUACUCAAAAAGCUAUCUAUCUAAUAUAAAUCUGUAUUAUGUUGUCUAGCCUCUGUAAUCUUAUUUUGUGUGUGCUGGGAUAUUAAAAAAGCUAUCUGUCUAAUUUAAAUAUGUGAUGUAUUCUUCACUUAACUUUACUUGUAGUACAGUUUCUAGUCUAAAAAUGCUAAACGACCUUUUUUGAGCUAAAAAAGGCUAAAUGGCCUAAUAAUACAUAAUGGAUCGGACAUGGGCUUUGG